AAUGAACGCUAGCUACAGGCUCAACACAUGCAAGUCGAGGGGUAACGAGAGGAAAGCUUGCUUUCCUUGUCGACGACCGGCGCACGGGUGAGUAACGCGUAUCCAACCUGCCCCCAACUAAGGAAUAACCUUGCGAAAGUAAGACUUAUACCUUAUAAUUUCCUCAGAUGUCAUCUGACGAGGAAUAAAGAUUUAUCGGUUGUGGAUGGGGAUGCGUCUGAUUAGCGUGUUGGCGGGGUAACGGCCCACCAAGGCAACGAUCAGUAGGGGUUCUGAGAGGAAGGUCCCCCACAUUGGAACUGAGACACGGUCCAAACUCCUACGGGAGGCAGCAGUGAGGAAUAUUGGUCAAUGGGCGAAAGCCUGAACCAGCCAAGUAGCGUGCAGGAUGACGGCCCUAUGGGUUGUAAACUGCUUUUAUACAGGAAUAAAGUUAGCCACGUGUGGUUAUUUGUAGGUACUGUAUGAAUAAGGACCGGCUAAUUCCGUGCCAGCAGCCGCAGUAA
rnacentral:rRNA from 1 species